rnacentral:rRNA from 1 species
AUUGAACGCUGGCGGCAUGCCUUACACAUGCAAGUCGAACGGUAACGGGCCUUCGGGUGCCGACGAGUGGCGAACGGGUGAGUAAUACAUCGGAACGUGCCCGAUCGUGGGGGGUAACGAGGCGAAAGCUUUGCUAAUACCGCAUACGAUCUACGGAUGAAAGCAGGGGACCGCAAGGCCUUGCGCGGACGGAGCGGCCGAUGGCAGAUUAGGUAGUUGGUGGGAUAAAAGCUUACCAAGCCGACGAUCUGUAGCUGGUCUGAGAGGAUGAUCAGCCACACUGGGACUGAGACACGGCCCAGACUCCUACGGGAGGCAGCAGUGGGGAAUUUUGGACAAUGGGCGCAAGCCUGAUCCAGCCAUGCCGCGUGCAGGAUGAAGGCCUUCGGGUUGUAAACUGCUUUUGUACGGAACGAAAAGCCUUCUUUUAAUACAGGAGGGUCAUGACGGUACCGUAAGAAUAAGCACCGGCUAACUACGUGC